rnacentral:snRNA from 1 species
AUCACUUCUCGGCCUUUUGGCUAAGAUCAAGUGUAGUACAAGUCAAAGCUUGCUUGUCUGGCAGUGAAGGGAGAAAUUUCAAUGAUCCAUUAAACUUUAUAGUUGUCAAGCAUGAAUUCAAUUACUUCUUUACUUUCUAUGUUUCCUGUUGAUACAGACAAUAGGAAUGAAGUG